rnacentral:snoRNA from 1 species
AUCCUUUUGUAGUUCAUAAGCGUGAUGAUAUGGUGUUCACACCAUUGUAUAACAUGUAUCUCACUCAAACCUUGUUACAACCUCUGCACAUUACCUGUCCGAUA